rnacentral:rRNA from 1 species
UACGUAGGGUGCAAGCGUUGUCCGGAAUUAUUGGGCGUAAAGAGCUCGUCGGCGGUUCGUCGCGUCGGCUGUGAAAACCCGGAGCUCAACUCCGGGCCUGCAGUCGAUACGGGCGGACUAGAGUUCGGCAGGGGAGACUGGAAUUCCUGGUGUAGCGGUGAAAUGCGCAGAUAUCAGGAAGAACACCAGCGGCGAAGGCGGCACUCUGGGCCGGUACUGACGCUGAGGAGCGAAAGCGUGGGUAGCAAACAGG